rnacentral:rRNA from 1 species
AUUGAACGCUGGCGGCAUGCUUUACACAUGCAAGUCGAACGGGGUGAGGGGGCAACCUCUCAUUCAGUGGCGAACGGGUGAGUAAUACAUCGGAACGUACCCCGUAGUGGGGGAUAACUCGGCGAAAGCCGUGCUAAUACCGCAUAUGCUCUACGGAGGAAAGCAGGGGACCGCAAGGCCUUGUGCUAUGGGAGCGGCCGAUGUCCGAUUAGCUAGUUGGUGAGGUAANGGCUCACCAAGGCGACGAUCGGUAGCUGGUCUGAGAGGAUGAUCAGCCACACUGGGACUGAGACACGGCCCAGACUCCUACGGGAGGCAGCAGUGGGGAAUUUUGGACAAUGGGGGCAACCCUGAUCCAGCCAUGCCGCGUGCGGGAAGAAGGCCU